AGUGAACGUUGGCGGCGUGGAUUAGGCAUGCAAGUCGAGCGAUCGUAGCAAUACGGGAGCGGCAAACGGGGUAGGAAUACAUCGGAACGUACCUUUUGGUUGAGAAUAGCGUUGGGAAACUGACGGUAAUACUCAAUAAAGUCGAGAGACCAAAGGUUUACUGCCGGAAGAGCGGCCGAUGCGAUAUUAGGUAGUUGGUGGGGUAAUGGCCUACCAAGCCUGAGAUGUCUAGGGGGUGUGAGAGCAUGGCCCCACCACUGGGACUGAGAUACUGCCCAGACACCUACGGGUGGCUGCAGUCGAGGAUCUUCGUCAAUGGGCGAAAGCCUGAACGAGCGACGCCGCGUGCGGGAUGAAGGCCCUUGGGUUGUAAACCGCUGUCAGGGGGGAUGAAACCGUAAGGUUGACAGAGCCCCAGAGGAAGCACGGGCUAAGUUCGUGCCAGCAG
rnacentral:rRNA from 1 species